rnacentral:antisense_RNA from 1 species
UUUGACGGCAGCUUUGCGCGGGAGGCCUUCGGGCCUGCCGGGUUCCUUGGUUCCCCGGUCCUGCAGCCCCGCGCAAGCACGCGUUG